rnacentral:rRNA from 1 species
CCUACGGGUGGCAGCAGUGGGGAAUAUUGCACAAUGGGGGGAACCCUGAUGCAGCGACGCCGCGUGGGUGAAGGAGUAGUUCGGGAUGUAACGCCCUAGCAGCAGGGAAGAACAAUGACGGUACCUGACUAAGAAGCACCGGCUAAAUACGUGCCAGCAGCCACGGUAAUACGUAUGGAGCAAUCUUUAUCCGGAUUUACUGGGUGUAAAGGGAGCGCAGGCGGGGCGGUAAGCCUGGUGUGAAGGCCCGCGGCCCAACCGCGGGACUGCAUUGGGAACUGGCGCGAUGGAGUGCCGGAGGGGUAGGCGGAAUUCCUAGUGUAUCGGUGAAAUGCGUAGAUAUUAGGAGGAACACCAGUGGCGAAGGCGGCCUACUGGACGGUGACUGACGCUGAGGCUCGAAAGCGUGGGGAGCAAACAGGAUUAGAUACCCUUGUAGUC